UUGUACGGCGGAUCUCCAAUCCACCGGCUCAAAGACCCUACUCAGUAGGAGUAGGGCCUCCCCUAGCCACUCAACCCAGCUCUUCAAGUGUCGGAAAGCCACAGACAAACCACACUAUCUGCCAAGCAGAAAGGCCCCAGCACUACCUACGUCUGAGUCCAGCGCUUUAGUGGACUAGGGGAGUCCAGAACAUGAAGUGGGAUCUGUAGCCACCAGUUGAGGUGCUGUGACCUGGAAGUGUUGUCAGGACUUCUCUACUUCAAUUGUUUUAAAUAAAAUUGAUUCUAAUACA